AGUGAACGCUGGCGGUAGGCCUAACACAUGCAAGUCGAACGGCAGCACAGUAAGAGCUUGCUCUUACGGGUGGCGAGUGGCGGACGGGUGAGGAAUACAUCGGCAUCUACUUUUUCGUGGGGGAUAACGUAGGGACACUUACGCUAAUACCGCAUACGACCUACGGGUGAAAGCAGGGGAUCUUCGGACCUUUCGCGAUUGAAUGAGCUGAUGUCGGAUUAGCUAGUUGGCGGGGUAAAGGCCCACCAAGGCGACGCUCCGUAGCUGGUCUGAGAGGAUGAUCAGCCACACUGGAACUGAGACACGGUCCAGACUCCUACGGGAGGCAGCAGUGGGGAAUAUUGGACAAUGGGCGCAAGCCUGAUCCAGCCAUACCGCGUGGGUGAAGAAGGCCUUCGGGUUGUAAAGCCCUUUUGUUGGGAAAGAAAAGCAGCAGGUUAAUACCCCGCUGUUCUGACGGUACCCAAAGAAUAAGCACCGGCUAACUUCGUG
rnacentral:rRNA from 1 species